CAGCCGCCGCGGGAACACGUAGGGUGCAAGCGUUAAUCGGAAUUACUGGGCGUAAAGCGUGCGCAGGCGGUUUUGCAAGUCAGAUGUGAAAUCCCCGGGCUCAACCUGGGAACUGCAUUUGAAACUACAAGGCUAGAGUGUGUCAGAGGGGGGUAGAAUUCCACGUGUAGCAGUGAAAUGCGUAGAGAUGUGGAGGAAUACCGAUGGCGAAGGCAGCCCCCUGGGAUAACACUGACGCUCAUGCACGAAAGCGUGGGGAGCAAACAGGAUUAGAUACCCCCGUAGUCCCUGUCUCUUAUAC
rnacentral:rRNA from 1 species